rnacentral:rRNA from 1 species
UCAAGUGAAGAAGCGCAUACGGUGGAUGCCUUGGCAGUCAGAGGCGAUGAAAGACGUGGUAGCCUGCGAAAAGCUUCGGGGAGUCGGCAAACAGACUUUGAUCCGGAGAUCUCUGAAUGGGGGAACCCACCUAGGAUAACCUAGGUAUCUUGUACUGAAUCCAUAGGUGCAAGAGGCGAACCAGGGGAACUGAAACAUCUAAGUACCCUGAGGAAAAGAAAUCAACCGAGAUUCCCUUAGUAGUGGCGAGCGAACGGGGAUUAGCCCUUAAGCUUCAUUGAUUUUAGCGGAACGCUCUGGAAAGUGCGGCCAUAGUGGGUGAUAGCCCCGUACGCGAAAGGAUCUUUGAAGUGAAAUCGAGUAGGACGGGAGCACGAGAAAACUUUGUCUGAACAUGGGGGGGACCAUCCUCCAAGGCUAAAUACUACUGACUGACCGAUAGUGAACCAGUACCGUGAGGGAAAGGCGAAAAGAACCCCGGAGAGGGGAGUGAAAUAGAACCUGAAACCGUAUGCGUACAAGCAGUGGGAGCCUACUUGUUAGGUGACUGCGUACCUUUUGUAUAAUGGGUCAGCGACUUAUAUUCAGUGGCAAGCUUAACCGUAUAGGGUAGGCGUAGCGAAAGCGAGUCUUAAUAGGGCGUUUAGUCGCUGGGUAUAGACCCGAAACCGGGCGAUCUAUCCAUGAGCAGGUUGAAGGUUAGGUAACACUGACUGGAGGACCGAACCCACUCCCGUUGAAAAGGUAGGGGAUGACUUGUGGAUCGGAGUGAAAGGCUAAUCAAGCUCGGAGAUAGCUGGUUCUCCUCGAAAGCUAUUUAGGUAGCGCCUCAUGUAUCACUCUGGGGGGUAGAGCACUGUUUCGGCUAGGGGGUCAUCCCGACUUACCAAACCGAUGCAAACUCCGAAUACCCAGAAGUGCCGAGCAUGGGAGACACACGGCGGGUGCUAACGUCCGUCGUGAAAAGGGAAACAACCCAGACCGCCAGCUAAGGUCCCAAAGUUGUGGUUAAGUGGUAAACGAUGUGGGAAGGCUUAGACAGCUAGGAGGUUGGCUUAGAAGCAGCCACCCUUUAAAGAAAGCGUAAUAGCUCACUAGUCGAGUCGGCCUGCGCGGAAGAUGUAACGGGGCUCAAAACCACACACCGAAGCUGCGGGUGUCACGUAAGUGACGCGGUAGAGGAGCGUUCUGUAAGCCUGUGAAGGUGAGUUGAGAAGCUUGCUGGAGGUAUCAGAAGUGCGAAUGCUGACAUGAGUAACGACAAUGGGUGUGAAAAACACCCACGCCGAAAGACCAAGGGUUCCUGCGCAACGUUAAUCGACGCAGGGUUAGUCGGUUCCUAAGGCGAGGCUGAAAAGCGUAGUCGAUGGGAAACAGGUUAAUAUUCCUGUACUUCUGGUUACUGCGAUGGAGGGACGGAGAAGGCUAGGCCAGCUUGGCGUUGGUUGUCCAAGUUUAAGGUGGUAGGCUGAAAUCUUAGGUAAAUCCGGGGUUUCAAGGCCGAGAGCUGAUGACGAGUCGUCUUUUAGAUGACGAAGUGGUUGAUGCCAUGCUUCCAAGAAAAGCUUCUAAGCUUCAGGUAACCAGGAACCGUACCCCAAACCGACACAGGUGGUCGGGUAGAGAAUACCAAGGCGCUUGAGAGAACUCGGGUGAAGGAACUAGGCAAAAUGGCACCGUAACUUCGGGAGAAGGUGCGCCGGCUAGGGUGAAGGAUUUACUCCGUAAGCUCUGGCUGGUCGAAGAUACCAGGCCGCUGCGACUGUUUAUUAAAAAACACAGCACUCUGCAAACACGAAAGUGGACGUAUAGGGUGUGACGCCUGCCCGGUGCCGGAAGGUUAAUUGAUGGGGUUAGCGCAAGCGAAGCUCUUGAUCGAAGCCCCGGUAAACGGCGGCCGUAACUAUAACGGUCCUAAGGUAGCGAAAUUCCUUGUCGGGUAAGUUCCGACCUGCACGAAUGGCGUAACGAUGGCGGCGCUGUCUCCACCCGAGACUCAGUGAAAUUGAAAUCGCUGUGAAGAUGCAGUGUAUCCGCGGCUAGACGGAAAGACCCCGUGAACCUUUACUGUAGCUUUGCACUGGACUUUGAGCCUGCUUGUGUAGGAUAGGUGGGAGGCUUUGAAGCGUGGACGCCAGUUCGCGUGGAGCCAUCCUUGAAAUACCACCCUGGCAUGCUUGAGGUUCUAACUCUGGUCCGUGAUCCGGAUCGAGGACAGUGUAUGGUGGGCAGUUUGACUGGGGCGGUCUCCUCCUAAAGAGUAACGGAGGAGUACGAAGGUGCGCUCAGACCGGUCGGAAAUCGGUCGCAGAGUAUAAAGGCAAAAGCGCGCUUGACUGCGAGACAGACACGUCGAGCAGGUACGAAAGUAGGUCUUAGUGAUCCGGUGGUUCUGUAUGGAAGGGCCAUCGCUCAACGGAUAAAAGGUACUCCGGGGAUAACAGGCUGAUACCGCCCAAGAGUUCAUAUCGACGGCGGUGUUUGGCACCUCGAUGUCGGCUCAUCACAUCCUGGGGCUGAAGCCGGUCCCAAGGGUAUGGCUGUUCGCCAUUUAAAGUGGUACGCGAGCUGGGUUUAGAACGUCGUGAGACAGUUCGGUCCCUAUCUGCCGUGGACGUUUGAGAUUUGAGAGGGGCUGCUCCUAGUACGAGAGGACCGGAGUGGACGAACCUCUGGUGUUCCGGUUGUCACGCCAGUGGCAUUGCCGGGUAGCUAUGUUCGGAAAAGAUAACCGCUGAAAGCAUCUAAGCGGGAAACUUGCCUCAAGAUGAGAUCUCACUGGGAACUUGAUUCCCCUGAAGGGCCGUCGAAGACUACGACGUUGAUAGGCUGGGUGUGUAAGCGUUGUGAGGCGUUGAGCUAACCAGUACUAAUUGCCCGUGAGGCUUGACCAU